CGGAAUUAUUGGGCGUAAAGAGCUCGUAGGCGGUUUGUCACGUCUGUCGUGAAAGUCCGGGGCUUAACCCCGGAUCUGCGGUGGGUACGGGCAGACUAGAGUGCAGUAGGGGAGACUGGAAUUCCUGGUGUAGCGGUGGAAUGCGCAGAUAUCAGGAGGAACACCGAUGGCGAAGGCAGGUCUCUGGGCUGUAACUGACGCUGAGGAGCGAAAGCAUGGGGAGCGAACAGGAUUAGAUACCCUGGUAGUCCAUGCCGUAAACGUUGGGCACUAGGUGUGGGGACCAUUCCACGGUUUCCGCGCCGCAGCUAACGCAUUAAGUGCCCCGCCUGGGGAGUACGGCCGCAAGGCUAAAUCUCAAAGGAAUUGACGGGGGCCCGCACAAGCGGCGGAGCAUGCGGAUUAAUUCGAUGCAACGCGAAGAACCUUACCAAGGCUUGACAUGUUUUCGACCGCCGUGGAGACACGGUUUCCCCUUUGGGGCGGAUUCACAGGUGGUGCAUGGUUGUCGUCAGCUCGUGUCGUGAGAUGUUGGGUUAAGUCCCGCAACGAGCGCAACCCUCGUUCCAUGUUGCCAGCACGUAGUGGUGGGGACUCAUGGGAGACUGCCGGGGUCAACUCGGAGGAAGGUGAGGACGACGUCAAAUCAUCAUGCCCCUUAUGUCUUGGGCUUCACGCAUGCUACAAUGGCCGGUACAAUGGGUUGCGAUACUGUGAGGUGGAGCUAAUCCCAAAAAGCCGGUCUCAGUUCGGAUUGGGGUCUGCAACUCGACCCCAUGAAGUCGGAGUCGCUAGUAAUCGCAGAUCAGCAACG
rnacentral:rRNA from 1 species